CCCCUUGGCCACUUACUAAAAUUAAGGGACAAGUGUAACAUGUGUUCUGAUCUAGGAUGGCAAGCUCCUAAGAGUAGUUGUUACGUGUUCCUCGUCUCUAAGUUCAUGCUACUGAAACUGUGGUUUAUGCAUGGUGUCUGCAUCCUUCGUAACCUCAGAGAAUAGUCACUUCGCAUGUCUACCGGCUGACUGAUUGAACACAACUGUACACAAUAGUUGCGUGUAGACCUCUAGCUUCGGUGUCAAAUGAGAGGAUAUUGUCUCGACCAGUCAUUCAAAGAUAAUCCUCGUGAACAAUUUUCUGGAGAAUUUCCUGAAGAAAUUCCUUGACAUGUUAUCAUGACGUUUUAAAAUUAGCUCAAAGAAGGUUUAGUGGAGUAACAGGCUGACCUUCACAAUGGCACGAACAAAAGUGCAAGCUGACAUACGCUGGCAGAGUACCGAGUUGAUAAUUUUUGUAAUUUGUUUUAAAAAAGAUCAGAAAUGACCUACUUCUUGCUGUAUAUGUGUUCAUUGGCUCAGUGCUCAAGUGCUUUGGUUGCAUGAAUGAAAACCGGUCCUAAACGGUGAAAACCCAUAUUGACCGUUCUGUGAAUCAGCUGUUGUUAUUGAAAAUAGUUUAACAACACAGUCAUUUGCUCAUUAAUAAACUGCUGUGUAAUGUUCGCAAAAUUUA